CUACACGUGUCCUUCUGUUAUGGCAGGGUGCUCUUGCUGCUGAUGCCUGGGGAGGCUAGGCUGUUCCCAUCACCGGAUGGUUGUAAUGCUCAGUUGCAUGUUGCUACUAUGGUCCCUUCAGUCAUUUUGUGAGGUGUGGUGAGCCCCAGCACAGUUGGCUGCAAGUUUUUGUGCUUCAGAGUUUUGAAUAUAUCAUUCCACUCUCUUCUAGCCUGUAAGAUGUCUGCUGAGAAAUCUGCUGACAGCCUUAUGGGGGUUCCUUUGUAGAUUAUUUUCUUCUGCCUUGCUGCUGUUAGUAUUUUCUUUUUGUCACUGACUUUUGCAAGCUUCACUACUAUAUGCCUUGUGGUGUGUCUUUUUACAUUGAUAAAGUUUGGAGAUCUAUUAGCUUCUGUCACCUGGAAUUCUGUCUCUCUCCCCAGGUUUGGGAAGUUCUCAGCCAUUAUUUCUUUGAACAGGCUUUCUGCCCCAUUCUUCUCUUUUCCCUCUUGAAUACCUAUAAUCCUUAUGUUGCAUUUCCUAAUUGAGUCGGAUAUUUCUCAGAGAGUUUCUUCAUUUCUUUUUAGUCUUAGUUCUCUCUCCUCCUCUAUCUGCAGCAUUUAUACAUUCCUAUCUUCCAAAUUGCUAAUUCUGCCUUCCAUAUUAUCAACCGUACUGAUCAGAAAGUCAAGAUUUUCCUUAAUCUCCUCCAUUGUGAUCUUCAUCUCCAAAAUUUCUGAUUGGUUCUUCUUUAUAGCAUCAAGCUCUUUUGUGACAUAGCUCCUGAACUCGUUGAAUUGUCUAUCUGUAUUCUCUUUUAUCUCAUUGAGUUUUUUAAUGAUGUCUAUUUUGAAUUCAUUGUCAUUUAGGUUAUAGAUUUCAGAGUCUUUGGCAUUGUUUUCUGGGUACUCAUCAUUUUCCUUCUGUUCUGGAGAUUUAAUAUAUUUUUUCAUACUGCUUGAUGGUGUGGAUUUGUGCCUCCUCAUAGAGAUAGAAUUUAGUUACUGCUUGCACUUGCUGCUACUGGAG
rnacentral:lncRNA from 1 species